AGUGAACGCUGGCGGUAGGCCUAACACAUGCAAGUCGAACGGCAGCACAGUAAGAGCUUGCUCUUACGGGUAGCGAGUGGCGGACGGGUGAGGAAUACAUCGGAAUCUACUUUUUCGUGGGGGAUAACGUAGGGAAACUUACGCUAAUACCGCAUACGACCUACGGGUGAAAGCAGGGGAUCUUCGGACCUUGCGCGAUUGAAUGAGCCGAUGUCGGAUUAGCUAGUUGGCGGGGUAAAGGCCCACCAAGGCGACGAUCCGUAGCUGGUCUGAGAGGAUGAUCAGCCACACUGGAACUGAGACACGGUCCAGACUCCUACGGGAGGCAGCAGUGGGGAAUAUUGGACAAUGGGCGCAAGCCUGAUCCAGCCAUACCGCGUGGGUGAAGAAGGCCUUCGGGUUGUAAAGCCCUUUUGUUGGGAAGGAAAAGCAGCAGGUUAAUACCCCGCUGUUCUGACGGUACCCAAAGAAUAAGCACCGGCUAACUUCGUG
rnacentral:rRNA from 1 species